rnacentral:lncRNA from 1 species
AAAAUUUCCUAUUAUUCACUCUUCCUCUCAAAAUCAAAACCCUAACUCAUCCCCAAAGAUCAAGAACUCAUCCCUAAGAUCAAGAAUUCCAAGAAACGGACCAAGAUCGAGGUUCCAUCUUUCAAAUCUUUUAAUGUAAGGUACGUGGGGUUUUCCUAAAACUACAUGGGCAUAAAGAAAUUGUUUCAACAAUAUUUAAACAUUAUGAAAUCAUGAAUUCUUGAAGGGGUAUUAGAAUUUGUAUUACAAUGUUGCUUUAUGAAUUCUUUAAUGACAUUAUUAUUUUGGUCUUGAGGCAUUUCCCCCAAACUUGAUUUAUAACCAUGUAUAAGUAUAUAUAUGUAUGUGUUUGAUGAAUUUGAAUGAUGAAUUGAGAGCAUGAUCUAUUAGAAAUUCCUCUCUUGUUUACAAGUUUCUUGUUUUCGUAAGAUAUGAUUUAUUCGAAAUGCAUUGUUGGGAGCAUGAUAUAAAUGUUUUGAUGUUGUUUAUGGCUUGAUUAUGGUUUUGAAUUGAAGAGAGGGGACUUUUACAUGAUUGAAUGAUGUUGAAAAUAUAUAUAUAACGAAAGAACUACAUGAUUUUGCCAAAGAUGCAUGACCACCACAUGUUUGUUGAAAUGUUGAAAAGAGAUAUCCUUUGCAUAAUUUUAUGAAUGUUUUGAAGUAUGAGUUUUCGUAAAUUGUUGGAAGUAUGGUAGUCCAAACUUUAUGUUUUGAAAGAAGAGACUGUGAUAUGAUAUUUUAUGGCUCUGAAACAUGAAUUGCAAGUCUUGGUGUGACGACACCAAAAUAGAUAAUGCCAUAACAAACUCAGAAUAAAAUAGAAAUCAGAUUUCACUCAGAUUUGCAGAUUUUGAAAUUUAGAAAGUUGCAUGUUAAGAAAAGGUUAAAAAUGGGCUUAAAAAGAAUUAGAUGGUUACCCGAAGAAAGUACGAGCUGAAAGACUCAAUGCUAGAAAUCGUAAUUUGCCGACACAGGGUUAUGGUACUAUGUCGUGUGGUCUUGUGUACCUUGAUUUAUGUCGUCCCACUUUGGAACUGUAGUUAGGAGCCAUGUUUUGUGGUCUUGUACUCUACCAUGACAUGUUGAUUUAAUUAGGGGAUCAUGGCACCAUGCUGUAUGGUCUUGCGUGUCUCCCCAUACUGAUACUCCAAUCCUUGCGGCAAAUUUGGAUUGGAGGCUUGGCCGCCGAGUCAAGGGCGGAUUCUGUAUAGCCCAUGGAAUUACAGAUUGUAAGGUGUACCAUCUAGCUCAUAAGUAAGAUAAAGAGUGAAUCAUGGAUUUCAUAUUAUUGUUCAAAGUCUUUUAAAUAUGACCAUGUGUUUUUUCAUAUAUUAUAUAUAAAUUGAUUUCAAACUGCUCUCACUUAUGUUGUAUAAAAGUGCAUUAUUUUGGAUUACUCUGCGUACCAGUAUAUUUGUAUUGACCCCCUAUAUUUCAGGGUCUGAGGUUCAGUCUAGAGGUCGUGCUAAGCCGUAAAGUAAUUCAGACAGAAGUGAAGUGUGCAGUUGGUGAGCAUUCUUUAUUCCAGAAGGC